AUUUAUACAGAUUACACACGUAUUUUUUUAUCGACAGAAUCAGAUCCUUAUUUAAAACAAGGCCGAUCUAAAAGACACUCCAAAUUUCCUGAGAAAUUUGGUAGGCGCGAUUGGACUCGAACCAACGACCCCCACCA
rnacentral:antisense_RNA from 1 species